ACUGCCUACCAUCUAACUGUGUGAGUGCUUAUUCUCUCUGCAGUCCUGGGAGGAGCUCUGGUGAGAUGGGCACUGAGUGUGCUCUUCCCUUUGUUUGUGAGAGUUAAAGCUAACUUGCUUGGUGACCAGCACAGGGCUUGCCAAGCUCACAGCUCACAGCAUUUCCCUCUCGAAGGAAGAAUCACAGGACUGGGUCAUGGAAUGCAGAUUCAAAAGGAAACCUGGAGCAAAUGACUGGAUUGAUAUGUAAAAUAAGAGUGGUCUUAUGAUGUUCAAGGGAUGAGAUCUGCAAAGAAUCUUUUAGACUAUGAAGAGAGAACUGCUUGGAGAACCAUCUUGAGCAGAGAAAGCAGGAGAGAGAGAGAGAGAGAGAGAGAGAGAGAGAGAGAGAGAGAGAGAGAGAGAGAGAGAGAGAGAGAGAGAGAGAGAGAGAGAGAGGAGCAAAGAAAAAGCAGCCUGGGAAGCUGAACUGAGCGAACAUAGGCCGUUAGCUUGGAUCCACAAUUUGAUUUCUAGUCAUUUGUUUUUCCACCUUCCAGAUACCCCUUCUCUCAGAACCCCUCUCCAAGCAGAGGUUGGUCCUUGGUAAAUACCCAGGAAGGGUAUUCAACUCAUUGGCUGAAGGCUCAAGGCUAUCUAGACAGCUUACUAGCAUGGAGAGAAACUCUAGGCAGAAUAAUAAAUGACAGAGAGCCCACAGUCCUCUCAGUACGUGUCAUGGUUAUGGGGUGCAGGGCACGGGAGGAGGUUCCCAGAGCAGGUGCAGAGACAGGGAGAGAAUGGCUCCACUCCUGCCAAUCUCAAAUCUCUGAGAUUCCCAGGGUUUGAGCUUAUUCAACCUUACCAGUUCUUACGCCUGUCUGGUAGCAUGAGCCCACAUGCCCUACAAGGGGAAGAGUGGUGCGGGACACUUAGGAGGUAGGUGGGCUUGUCAAAACAGGGAUAGGAAGCUGGUGCUGUCAGUGGUUGGGAGUGGUCGGAUAAAGUCAGCAGAUGGAGGAGAGCAGAAGCUAAAGAGGCACACAGAAAAUGGGGAAAUAGUGGCUGGCUUAGGGUUGCACACAGCCACUCUUGAGGUUUACUUCUCAGCAAGAGGGUUGAGGAGUAAAAUCCACUGAGAAGGAUUUGCAGAGCCCUCAGCAGACAUUUGUGCUGGGCACCUCCUGCGUAUCCCUGAAAGCAGGUAAAGGGAAGACUCUGGGUUGCUUUGGUUUGUUGUGUCUCCCAGAGCCUGCCAGCAGUGGUUGCUACAUGGUGGCCGACACAACAACUGUAGCUUAUGAUAACUUACGCUUUAAGAAAACAGAGGAUCUUGGGGGAGACCGAGCUCUGUUCAGUGUGGAGAGCUUUUUGGGGUGCAGCUUGGCAGGAGUCUGACAUUGGCCAAGGACAAGGAAAUGGGCUUCAGACAGGAAUCUGACAUUGGCCAUGACAAGGAAGUAAGUUCAUGGAGGGACCAGACAUUGGCUAAGGACAAGGAAGUAAGAAUUUGGUUUUAGUGUAGAACAAAGAAGUAGGCUCAGCUAUCUUCAUGAUCCUUAGAAACAGCUAACACGGGGGCUGGAGAGAUGGCUCAGUGGUUAAGAGCACCGACUGCUCUUCCAGAGGUCCUGAGUUCAAAUCCCAGCAACCACAUGGUGGCUCACAACCAUCUGUAACAAGAUCUGACUCCCUCUUCUGGAGUGUCUGAAGACAGCUACAGUGUACUUAUAUAUAUUAAAUAAAUAAAUCUUUAAAAAAAAAAAAAAAAAAAAAGAAACAGCUAACACCAGAGUGACCAUUGGGUUUUGUGUCUUGCUUAUUCCUCAUUGUACUACUCACCCUGAAUACUUGCAUGCAAUUAAAAUGGUAUAAAAAGCAGACUGGGAAAGUUAAAUUUGCCUUCAGUCUCAGAAUUGACUGGGAUCAUGCUACAAUGUUGUCUAACUGUUUUUUCUUUUGAAUCCUCAUUCCGUACUGGAGAACCCAUUGACUGACUGAGUGGUCUUGGUCAGUUCAGCAACUGUUUGUUGAGUACCCUCUAUGUUUCUUCCAGGUGCUCUGCUGGUCAGAGGACACGAAGCUGAAUCCAGGAAUCCCUGCACACUCCAGAGACAGAGGCAGAAGGAGGCACUCAGGGUUGGAGAGACUGUAAUGUGUGGGAUGUUGAGAGUGAAGUGUUGAUCUUAGGCAGGAUAAGUAGGAAUUAUCCAGGUGUGUUUUAGUUAGGGUUACUGUUGCUUUGACACAUCAUGACCAAGACAACCUGUGGAAGAAAGGGUUUAUUUCAGCUUAUACUUGCAGGCCCAUCACUGAAGAAGUCUAGGCAGGAACCGAUGCAGAGACCGUCCAUGGAGGAGUGUUGCUUACCGGCUUGCUUAACUGCUUUCUUAAAGAAUAAGAAAGCCACUCACAAUGGCCUGACCCUCCCCCACUAAUCACCACUUAAGAAAAUGUCCUAAAUGGCUUCCCUAUGGCCAGAUGUUAUAGAAGCAUAUCUUAUUUAGAGUUAAGAGUCCAUGGCCAUCCUGGCAGGGAACAUGGCAGCAGGCAGGCAGGCAGGCAGGCAUAGCACUGGACUUCGAGCUCACAUCUUGAGAGCCUGCCCCAGUGACACACCUCCUCUAACAAGACCACACCUCCUAAUCCUUUCCAAAGAGUUAUUCCAGCUGGGAUCAGGGACUAAAACCUAUAAACCUGUUGGGGGCCAUUCUCAUCCAAACCACCACAGUGAAAAACAUUGGACCUUCGUUCUGAAGGCAAUGAAAGAAUUUCACAGGUGCUUUAAAAGCUUUCAAGGAAUGUCUUAAGGUAGUAGUUACAAAAUUAAAAGCAAUUAAAAAUCAUCAGACACUGAACAGUCACUCAAAAUAAACAUAGCUGUGCAAAGGACUCCACGUCAUCUGGAGUUAAAGUGUCAUAAUAAUGGCUAAUUAUAAUAGUCACAGGCAUUUGACAGGGGAAGACUGUGCACUGUCCUCUCAGCUCACGAGGUCUGUGCCACUCAGUCUUCAAAGCAAUCACAAGAGGGAGGAAUCUGCUCCUCCACAGCCAACGCCACUCAUGGCUGCUGCGUUUUGGCUUUAGUCUUUGGGUAUUGGCAACUGCAGUAGAAUGCAUGGUGCGCUCACAUCGAAGUCUCUUAAGCCUGUGGCUGGUGAGUCACAUGGCAAGAGCAACACUGAAGAUGUGAUCAGGUUGGACCUGGAUUUACCAGGUAGGUUCAGAGUAAUUAGAUAGGUUCUUCUGAGACAGUGGCUGUUGCAUCACGGAGUGGGGAGUGGGCUGGGAGAAGAGCAGGAAAGGAGGUGGAGGGACGAAGAGAGGAAAGGAAAGGGAAAUGGAGGGAAGGGGAGCAGGUAGGGAAAGGAAGAGGAAGAAAAGCAGGAUGGGGAAGAGCAGGUGGGGGAGGAGAGAGAUGCGGAGGAUAAGGAGGGCAAGAUAGGAGAAGAGAAGGUCCUAAGCUGGAAGGAAACCAGCCUGCUUGGCAGCCUCUCUUUGAGGCUCUCUAUUCAAGCUGUAGACUCAAAGAAUUACCAGGCUCCUCCUGCUGCAGGAAGAAAAGUCGGGAGCUCUGGGAACUCAUAGGGGGUGAGCUAGAGCUAGAGGAGGGACUUGUCUCUGGAAGAAAGAUUGACAACCUGGCAAGGACCGAGCAGGAAAGGCUAGAGCUGAGAUAGUAGUGGUCAGGCAACCACAUCUUGUCCAGACUGCUCAGUGUGCCUGCUUUCUGCCUUCCAUGUUAAUUUUACUCUCUUGGACUUGGGGCCAUUGGGUCUUUCUGCAACUUUUCCCAAGGUGGCCACAUGGAGUGAAUCUCUUUUGCACUAUUAAUUUGGCGCGUUCAAUUGUCUUUUCCCAGAUCAAUGGCUGAACCAGACUUGCCAAGGCACAAGCUGUCACUCUAAGUCAGGUCAUGGAAAGAAACUGCAGUGAUGUGUUUUGAGGAAGAAACCACAAGAACGGGAGAUCCCCCCUAUAGAUGACAGCUCUGCCAGUAGCCAGUCGUUGACAGAA